UUGGCUUGGCUUGGUAUUUUGCUUUGCUGCUGCUCGCUUUUCCCCCUUCCCUUUUUUUUUGCUUUGCUUUAUUUUUCCUUAUUAGCUAGAAAUACCACUGAAUAUCAAGAAAUCCCCAGACGUCUGUUUGUGACAAGAAAUACGUGUUUUCUGCCCUCCCCAGCAUCGGCUGCAUCCACUCGGACGGGUGAAGUUUUUCUGCGUCACCUGUGGCUGUUUUUUUUUUUUCUCGUGUUGGAAAGUGUUUUUCUGUGUGUUUUGCUAAAUAAACAAGUUUUUUCCACUUUACCUCUGAAGAAAUUCUUCCCGAACCCAUUGGUAGAAGGGGAGGAGUUUUGGGGGUUUGUUUUUAAAAAGCUCCGUUAAAAAUUUUCCCCUAAUUUGUCCUAAACUGGGACACCACCAAUUUUUCGUGUUUUACUUUGGGUAUCUGAUUCUGUGUGUUAGAUCUGCACUUGUGUCUGUGCUAAAGGGCAGUGGGAGAAGGCGUAUGGUUGGGCAGGAGUGCUCAUAUGGUGUUUGAUGUGCUAGCAGGUCUCUGAAUCAAAAGCUCGCCCAAGGUAGGUUUCCAUUUUGCAGUGCUUGGGGCUGUCUCUGCUGGUGUGCUUCCCACUGUUCGUAUUUGAAGAGGUUUUGCAUCUUCCAGCUGUCAACAGCCAGAAUUACAGGUCCGGUUUUGUCCUUGUACAGGGGAGAAUGCUCAGAAAGUAAGUGACUGAAGUUGCAGCUUUGGAGAUCAGGAGAAGAGGAGGCAUCCUGCUAAGGUCUUUAUGGAAUCCUGCCCUGUUCUCCAUGCCCUGUCCUACAGAGACACUGGCCUUUUUCACCUGAGGAGAGAGAAUUUGCCCUGAAUCAUGAUGUUUCAAAGAAAAAAUAAAGGACAGACUUUAAAGCAGAAGGCUAAUCAGCAGAUGAGCUCUUCCAGUGGGAAUAAUUUUCGAGUACCAGAUGAUAGCACUUCCAGUGAAACAUCUUAAGAGGAAGGAAGGUCUGCAUACAAAUGGAUGUAACUGAUGACCUUGAUUUAACUCAUUCAUCUGACACAACAUCGGAGGAUGUCAAACUACCAGCGUCCACCUAGAGAGAGGCUGUGUUGCUCUUAGAGCAGCUUACUGUGGAUCAUACAGGUAGAAGAUGAGCGUGGUGAAACACAGAGACACCUCUCUCAGGAAAAGAGUGCCAGAGCCCUGCAAGAAGGCAUUUUGAACAAUCACCUUUGGAGACAAAAGGAACUAGAAGAAGAGACAGGAAGUGCUGUAGGAAAAAGUUCAGAUGAAUCCGACACUGAGAGAAAAAAGGAUCUGUUGUACAAAAAUCAGUUCCUGCAAGAUGAGAUUGCCAUGCUAAGACUAGAACUUGAUCAAAUAAGACUUAGGCACCAGGGGAAGAAGGAAAA